AUUCCUUCAAACCGUCCUUUUGUCGGGAAAGGGUUUGGAUUUGGACGCUUGCGGCUGGCUUUUGCCUGUCGGCUCGUCUUUAAUGCAUUGGUUGGCCUUUCCCUAAAGUCGGUUCGAUCGACGGCGUGAUAUGCUUUUAUCGUCGACGUUUGAGCCAUGACGAGGCUUUAUUUGUGGGGGGAGCCAGCCAGCUGUUUACAGCAUCUUUGGAACACGUUUUCAC
rnacentral:misc_RNA from 1 species